CAUAUAAUGUGCAACAUCAAACUGAUGCCUCCGAUACCAUCAAGCACCCUGACCUACACAGUUCGUUCAUCAUCAUUCAUCAGCUUCUAGCAGCCAUACGUUACCUUCUACCGUACCUUCUGCCACCAAUAGAUUGAAUAAUGGGUAAUAUAUACCAACACUUGCCUUCCUACCUUUGGCUUUGUGAUUGCCUGUUGUAUCCGUUUAUCCGAGGACGCUUUUUGCCGGUUGACACUGUUUUCAAAAAUCCAAAAAGUGCUCUUCCGCAAUUACUAAACUCUAAUCCGAGUAAGCCCCUGCCCACCCCAAACACCACAAAACCUUGAGGGGAAUGGAAUGCUCUAAUUAAAGCUAAGCAUCCAAUAUGCCGGCACUCGUGCACAAAGGAUAUCUCCUGCAGAUGCUGCACUUUUGUAUCUUUGCCAGAGCGUUUUGUAGACGCAACUUUGUGACUGGGCUCCCCGCGCAGCAUCCCCCCAUGGCCAGGAGCCCGUCAGAGCCAGAGACAUCGAGAGACUCCCAAUAAUGCAAGCAGAAAUUUGCUUAUCCAAGACAAAUAUGCUACUCGAACUUGAUUGAAUGCUGGGUCUCCAAAUGGGUCACAAUCUGGAGUUUAGUCUUGACCAAUGGACAUUC